rnacentral:sRNA from 1 species
UUAUAGCCCCGAUAGAGCCGGUAUCCUUUUUGUACAACUACGCGUUUUGCACUGGUACAAAAAGAUAAAGGCGAAAGCGGGAAUAUGG